ACAUGUAAAUGCUAUACAUUGGUGCAAC
rnacentral:sRNA from 1 species